AACGAACGCUGGCGGCAAGCUUAACACAUGCAAGUCGAACGGAUUAUUCUUUAUAGCUUGCUAUGGAGGAUAAUUAGUGGCAGACGGGUGAGUAAUGCAUAGGAAUCUACCUAGUAGUAUGGGAUAGCCACUAGAAAUGGUGGGUAAUACUGUAUAAUCCCUGUGGGGGAAAGAUUUAUCGCUAUUAGAUGAGCCUAUGUUAGAUUAGCUAGUUGGUAGGGUAAAGGCCUACCAAGGCGAUGAUCUAUAGCUGGUCUGAGAGGAUGAUCAGCCACACUGGAACUGAGAUACGGUCCAGACUCCUACGGGAGGCAGCAGUGGGGAAUAUUGGACAAUGGGCGCAAGCCUGAUCCAGCUAUGCCGCGUGAGUGAGGAAGGCCUUAGGGUUGUAAAACUCUUUCAGUAGGGAAGAUAAUGACGGUACCUACAGAAGAAGUCCCGGCAAACUCCGUGCCAGCAGCCGCGGUAAUACGGAGGGGGCAAGCGUUGUUCGGAAUUAUUGGGCGUAAAGGGCAUGUAGGCGGUUCGGUAAGUUAAAGGUGAAAUGCCAGGGCUUAACCCUGGAGCUGCUUUUUAUACUGCCAGACUAAAGUCCGGGAGAGGAUAGCGGAAUUUCUAGUGUAGAGGUGAAAUUCGUAGAUAUUAGGAGGAACACCAGUGGCGAAGGCGGCUAUCUGGUCCGGUACUGACCCUGAGGUGCGAAAGCGUGGGGAGCAAACAGGAUUAAAUACCCUGGUAGUCCAC
rnacentral:rRNA from 1 species